rnacentral:tRNA from 20 species
GGGCCGUUAGCUCAGUUGGUAGAGCAACUGACUUUUAAUCAGUAGGUCGUUGGUUCGAACCCAACACGGCUCACCA